rnacentral:rRNA from 1 species
GACGAACGCUGGCGGCGUGCUUAACACAUGCAAGUGGAGCGACGAGCCAGGCUUCGGCCUGGGGCAAAGCCGCGAACGGGUGAGUAUCACGUGGGUAACGUGCCCCGAUGACCGGGACAACCCGAGGAAACUCGAGCUAAUACCGGAUGUGUUGUUCAGCCUCAAGACUGAACAGCAAAGGAAGCUUCGGCCUCCGCAUUGGGAGCGGCCCGCGGCCCAUUAGCUUGNGGUGAGGUAACGGCUCACCAAGGCUGUGAUGGGUAGCUGGUCUGAGAGGACGAUCAGCCACACUGGGACUGAGACACGGCCCAGACUCCUACGGGAGGCAGCAGUGGGGAAUCUUGCGCAAUGGGCGAAAGCCUGACGCAGCGACGCCGCGUGAGGGAUGACGGCCU